UGCAAUCUAUCGCCGGAUAGGCACCUUUUUCAGUACUCCGUAGGCCAUUGAGGGAUUACUGACAAAGGUGCCUUUUUC
rnacentral:ncRNA from 1 species